GACGUAGGGCGAGCGUUGUUCGGAAUUAUUGGGCGUAAAGGGCUCGUAGGCGGUUUGUCACGUCGGGAGUGAAAACACCGGGCUUAACUCGGUGCUUGCUUCCGAUACGGGCAGACUAGAGGCAUGCAGGGGAGAACGGAAUUCCUGGUGUAGCGGUGAAAUGCGCAGAUAUCAGGAGGAACACCGGUGGCGAAGGCGGUUCUCUGGGCAUGUCCUGACGCUGAGGAGCGAAAGUGUGGGGAGCGAACAGG
rnacentral:rRNA from 1 species